rnacentral:rRNA from 1 species
AAUGAACGCUGGCGGCAUGCCUAACACAUGCAAGUCGAACGAAGGCUUCGGCCUUAGUGGCGCACGGGUGCGUAACGCGUGGGAAUCUGCCCCUUGGUUCGGAAUAACAGUGAGAAAUUACUGCUAAUACCGGAUGAUGACGUAAGUCCAAAGAUUUAUCGCCGAGGGAUGAGCCCGCGUAAGAUUAGGUAGUUGGUGUGGUAAAGGCGCACCAAGCCGACGAUCUUUAGCNGGUCUGAGAGGAUGAUCAGCCACACUGGGACUGAGACACGGCCCAGACUCCUACGGGAGGCAGCAGUGGGGAAUAUUGGACAAUGGGCGAAAGCCUGAUCCAGCAAUGCCGCGUGAGUGAUGAAGGCCUUCGGUU